UACGGGGGGGGCAAGCGUUGUUCGGAAUUACUGGGCGUAAAGGGUUCGUAGGUGGCUUGCUAAGUCAGACGUGAAAUCCCUCAGCUUAACUGGGGAACUGCGUGUGAGACUGGCAGGCUCGAGGGCAGGAGAGGAACGCGGAAUUCCAGGUGUAGCGGUGAAAUGCGUAGAUAUCUGGAGGAACACCGGUGGCGAAGGCGGCAUUCUGGACCGACAUUGACGCUGAGGAGCGAAAGCCAGGGGAGCAAACGGG
rnacentral:rRNA from 1 species